GCGUCAGUAGUGCAAUGGGUUAGAGCACACGCUCCCGGGUAGAGUGAGAUGUGGAUUCGAGUCCUGCCUGACACA